UACGUAGGUGGCAAGCGUUGUUCGGAAUUACUGGGCGUAAAGGGCUCGUAGGCGGCCAACUAAGUCAGACGUGAAAUCCCUCGGCUUAACCGGGGAACUGCGUCUGAUACUGGAUGGCUUGAGUUUGGGAGAGGGAUGCGGAAUUCCAGGUGUAGCGGUGAAAUGCGUAGAUAUCUGGAGGAACACCGGGGGCGAAGGCGGCAUCCUGGACCAACACUGACGCUGAGUGAGCGAAAGCCAGGGGAGCGAACGGG
rnacentral:rRNA from 1 species